CUUGGUUUAUUUUCAUUCCCGCAUAUAUCUUUCCCAAAGCCCUAAUUGGCCUUAUGUCGACUCAAAUCCCUCUCACAUCCUCUUUGGCUUCCCUAUCGAUUCGUCUCCAUUCCUCAUUGGCUCAUUGUUUCCCUGCCAGCGCCGUUCAAUCCUCUAUUGUCUUUUCAGAUCUCUUAGUAUAACUACUCAGCAAUCUCCAACCAAAGAGGAAGGAGAGUUGACUCUCAAAUCCGUUCGAGUCAUGUUUCCGAUCAUGGAAACUAGGAAAAAUAUGACCACAACUAAUCACCUCCCUCAUUUGGAGUGAAUGGCGACUCGCUCGUCGGGUGCUGACAAGAUACCAAAGCUGAAUGUCGUGAUACUCGGUGAGUCUCUUGCAUCCGAGGAGGACGAUCUCGUAUUUCCCGGUCACGUUUUCUCCCAACAGGCACACGUACCCUCUCCUCAAAAGUACUUGGAGUUGGAGAUGUACAACAGAUCAAUUAAAGAUCCUGGUGGCUUUUGGUAUGAUAUUGCGCAUCAGAAUUCUAUUGGAAAGAGAAAUGGGGUCAAUAGGUUUACUUAGAGGAUCUUGAUGUUACAAAUGGGAACAUCAAAAUUGAGGGUGGCAUCACCAACAUCUGUUAUAAUUGCUUGGAUAAAAACAUAGACUCUGGGAAUUGUGAUAAAAUUGCAGAUGUUUGGGGCUAACUGCAAACAUGGCCCUUCUCAGGCAGAUGUUUGGGGAAUUGAAGAAAACCCUAGUUAUGGCCCUUCUCAGUUGUAAAAGAAUUUCAUAAAGCUCGACGCCUUUCAGCUGAAAGAGAGACAACUUACACUCCUUUUGUUCCUCAAGUUGUUCUUCCUUCAAGUUAUGCAGCCAGUGAAAUCGAUAUAAGCUCAGACAAAAACUCAUAACAACGUGCACUUCUUGUGAAAUCUAGAAGACAGGAGGUAUUGUUAUUGGACAAUGAGAUUGCGUUUAAUGGCGAUUAUUGAGGAAAGAGAAAUACAGAAUCAAAUUGGGGAAGUAAAUGAGAUUUUUAAAGAUCUUGCUGUUAUGGUUCAUGAACAACGAGCCAUGAUUGAUGAUAUCGGGUCAAAUAUUGAGAAUUCUCAUGCUGCAACUGCAUAAGCAAGAAUCCAACUUUCAGAAAGUAUAUUUAUUGGUUAGUUUAUGUUGUUUGUUAUUUUGUUGAUGAGGGUUUUAAUUUUAAAUAUUUGUCGUUUGAUCCUAUGUUGUGACAGCUCAUCAAAGGUUACUGAAGUUGUUCGUUCUCGUUGUCUUAAUGUGCAAAUAAGUGCACCAAAGAAGACCAGAUUGUUAGGGUUCUGGAAUUUAUUGGCAAAAAGGAGUUAAGAUCAGUCUUGCACUUUUUCUUGUGGUUUCUUGUGUCCAGCAGUUAUGAUCAGUUAAGACCUUCUCAGUGGUCCAUAAUGGUCUAUAAAAAUGUUCAAAGAUCAAAUCGCAAAAGAGAAAUUUCUGAAGACUAAUAUGCAAACAUGGAAAAAGUAAGUAGAACUUGGUUCGCUUAAUUCCAUGGGGUUUAACGGGAAUCGGAAUCCAAUUCCAUUAUGGUCCAUUCGGAUGCAAUGCAAGAUAUGAAGCAAUGGGAAUAUGUAUGUGGAAACUCAAAAUAUGAGACAAAAUUGAGAUUAUGGUACAUUAUACUUCGAAAUAAAAAUCAAUAAAUAUUAAACUUUGAUAUUUGAUGAUUUUGAUCAUUUUGGUAAACAUUGAUAUUUGAUGUUUUUGGAUGUUUUGUUAAAUUUUGAUAUUUGAUUUUAGUAUUUUAAUGUUAGUGUUUGGUUUUGGAUUGUA